AUUGCUUUGGGCUUAUCUAUAGUUGCGGAGGUUUUUGUAACAGGUUUUAUUUUCAUUAUUAUUAUUAUUAUUAUUAUUAUUAUUAUUAUUAUUAUUAUUAUUAUUAUUAUUAUUAUUAUUAUUAUUAUUAUUAUUACUGUUUGACUUUCAUUAUUAUUGUUAUCACCAUUAUCAUUAUUAUUACUACUGCUUCUACUGCCAUUUCUUGUACCACUAUUACCAUCACCAUUCUCAUCAUUACCGCCAUCAUCGUCUCAUUAACUCAAGCCGUAUGGAGACUGGCGUUUGGGAGCAAGGGAAGGAGGGAGGAGAGGGAAGGACAGGAUGGGGUACAGGUAUGCUAGGGACAAGGUUGGUUACAUAGACAAGGACUCGUGUUGAGGCAGGAGCUGACUGGCUGGCUAACGGGAUGCGCGGUGGUCGGUGAUGGAUAGGACUUAAGGGCAGACAUGAAGUAUAGAGGAAAUGAAGAAAGGAAUUGAGGUGUAGGAAAAGGAAUGAAGUGUAGGAAAAGGAAUGAAGUGUAGGAUAAGGAAUGAAGUGUAGGAAAAGGAAUUGAGGUGUAGGAAAAGGAAUGAAGUGUAGGAAAAGGAAUGAAGUGUCGGAAAAGGAAUGAAGUGUAGGAUAAGGAAUGAAGUGUUGGAUAAGGAAUGAAGUGUAGGAAAAGGAAUUGAGGUGUAGGAAAAGGAAUGAAGUGUCGGAAAAGGAAUGAAGUGUAGGAUAAGGAAUGAAGUGUUGGAAAAGAAUUGAAGCGUAGGAAAAGAAAUGACCAGCUGAUUCAUGGACCUACACACAGUUCUAGGGACUGUCUGGAAUUGGCCUUAACCGAUAUUCCUUGUGUUGUAGUGGCUCCUGUCAUUGCUCCCACAGGUACCAUAAUGCCAUUCACUGUAAGAUCUGUUUAGACUUCACUGUGCGUGAUGUCGCCAUUUCCUGUCAGGUCUGUCUUAAAUCUCGAGUCAAUUGGGACAAUGUUUGUUCUGAAAUUGAUAAUAUUCAGUGGCAUACUAUUUUUCGAUCCAGUGACCCAGUCUCUGCUCUUAAUACUUGUCUAUUAGAUAUUUUACGCAGAAGAGUUUCAUCUAAGAUAAUCAAAUCUCGUAUGAGAGAUAAAGCGUGGUUUAAUGAUGACUGUAAGCGGGCCUAUGAUGAUAAGCAGGCUGCUUAUCACCUAUGGAGACAAUCGAUGCCAGUUGCUAUGGGAUAAUUAUGUUGCUCUUAAAGCUGAUGCUCACAGAAUCUAUAAUGCAGCUGAAGCUGCUUAUAAUUCCCAUAUACAGGAGGUUCUUGCAGGAACUGCUCAACCACACAAAUGGUGGGCUUCUCUUAAGUCCUCCUUGUUUGGUGUCGAUUCUUGCAAUGCCUCCAUUACGCGUCUGAUGGUUCAAUGUCCUUUGAUCCUUUAAGAAAGGCUAAUUUACUUUCUGAUAUUUUUAUUAACAAAGUGUGAUGAUGAAUUAUCCCUACCUUUGACUUGUUUCCCCUUCCCGAAACUUAGCUCAGUUGCAUUUAGAUCCAGUGAACUGAAAAAAGUACCUUCUAGAUCUUGAUAUAUAUAACCAUACGGACCCAGAUGUUUUUUUCCUCAAUUCUUUAAGAAGAUUGCUACGUUCUUAGCACCAAAACUUGCUGUAGUAUUUAGGUUACUGCUGAAGUCUGCUAGUUUUCCUUCUUGUUGGCGCAAGGCCAACAUCAUCCCCAUCCUGAAGGGAGCCUCAGCUUCAACAUUUCCUACUGAAUACCGCCCAAUUUAUAUCACUCCUGUCCUCUCUAAGAUCUUUGAGAGGCUUUUGGCUAAACGGCUUUCCAUAUACUGUGAUAAAUUCAAUGAGUUACCUGAUUCUCCGUUCGGAUUCCGUAAGGGUUUGUGAACAUGUGACGCUCUCUUGACUGUCUCAUGACCUGCAGGAGUCUCGAGUUGUUGCUAUUGAUUUUAGUUCUGCUUUUGAUAUUGUGAAUCAUAGGGCUAUAAUAUAUUAACUACAAGAUUGGUGGAAUUCUUCUCAGUAUUUUUAAAGAACUUUUAACUAAUCGAUUACAGUGUGUGGUUGUUGAUGGUUCCUGCUCUGCUUCUCUGCCUGUUGUUUCUGGUGCUCCUCGGGGCAGUGUCCUUGGACCUUUAUUUUUAUUUUAUUUUUAUUUCUAACUUGGGUAUUGACCUCGAAAUUAAGCUUAUUUUAUAUGCUGAUGAUACAACUCUAUACUUCUCUGUUCACUCUCCUAGCAACAGAGGUGAAGUUGCUGCAUCCCUGAAUAGGGACUUGGCAAUGGUCACCGCUUGGUGUCAACUUUGGGGCACGAAGCUUAAUGCUAAUAAAACGCAUUCCUUUACCAUCAGUAGAUCCCGUACCUUGAAUCCACCUCAUCCUUGUUUGCAUAUUUUUAGUGAACAGAUUGAGGAUGUUUCUAGUAUUCGUUUGUUGGGAGUCACUCUUGAUUCUAAACUGACAUUUGAGAAGCACAUCCGUUCCAUGUCUUUCACUACUGCACAGAAGACAGUCGUACUUCGUGAGUGCUUCAAAAACAUAUGAAAGAUGUGGGUGGUAAAGGUAUGUGAUGUAUCUGUGCGCUUAACUAGGGCUACAGAAGGAACAGGAGGAACAGGAAAAGUGGGAUAAAGGAAUGGUUUAGCGGGGCGCACGGCGGGUAGGACGGACGGGGGACUCGAGUGUAGUAACAGAGGGAGUGUGGAAGGCCAGUGUGGAGUGUGGUGAAGGCCGAGUAGCGAAUAUAGUGAGAGGAAGUGUGCAAGGGUUGUGUUAUGUGUGGUGACAGGGAAGGGAAGAGAACGUAGUAAGAGGAAGUGUGGACGGUUCAUGUGAGGUGUAGUGAAGGUUAGCAGAGUGAGAGACAGGGAGAGAGAGAGGCAGACAGACAGACAGACAGACAGACAGGCAGGCAGGCAGAGAGGGGACAAAGGUGACGGCGGAGAUAAGAGAUAAAAAGGGGGAUAGAAGGGAUAAAGGAAUGGCGAGGUUAAAGAUACGAUGCGGGUAUGUGAAGGCGAGUGUGAGGGAGAGGAGGAAGCAAUACAACACGAGGAUAUGUUGAUAAGAGUGAAAUGAAAAGAGUGCUAGAUAAGCUUGUGAUAGGAGGAGGGAAGCGGAAUAGGAUGAAACGGUGACUCGUGGUAGGGAGUGGAUGGGGUACAGUAAGAUAUAGUAUACUUGUGGUAUGAAGUGGAUGGGGUACAGUAAGGUAGAGUGACUUGUGGUAUGAAGUGGAUAAGCAAAUAAAGACAGGAAAAAGAAGAGGAAAUGAUAGAAAUAAGUUAAGAUAUGAGGGGAAAGUUAAAUAAGAUGAAUCACUACAGCUUGAGGUAUGAAACGAGUGUAGCUAAAAAGACGAGAAACAGAAAACAAAGUGAUAAAAAAUAAGUCUAAGAUAUGAAGAGAAAGCUUGGGGUAUGACACGGAUAGGUAGAAUUAUAGACGAUACAGAAAGAGAGAAAGAUAGGGGAGGAAAUGAUAUGAAAUGACACACUAAAAAAAACAAAA